rnacentral:rRNA from 1 species
UACAGAGGGGGCAAGCGUUGUUCGGAAUUACUGGGCGUAAAGGGCGCGUAGGCGGCCUCUUAAGUCGAACGUGAAAUCCCCGGGCUCAACCCGGGAACUGCGUCCGAUACUGGGAGGCUUGAAUCCGGGAGAGGGAUGUGGAAUUCCAGGUGUAGCGGUGAAAUGCGUAGAUAUCUGGAGGAACACCGGUGGCGAAGGCGGCAUCCUGGACCGGCAUUGACGCUAAAGCGCGAAAGCCAGGGGAGCAAACGGG